GACGAACGCUGGCGGCGUGCCUAAUACAUGCAAGUCGAACGCAGUGGGGACGGGUGAGUAACACGUGGGUAACCUCCCAUCACAGGGGAUAACACAUCGAAAAAGGUCCUAAACUGGUACUGAUGGAUGGUCACGAGGUGCAUUAGCUAGUUGGUGAGGUAACGGCUCCACAAGGCCACGAUGCAUAGCCGACCUGAGAGGGUGAUCGGCCACACUGGGACUGAGACACGGCCCAGACUCCUACGGGAGGCAGCAGUAGGGAAUCUUCGGCAAUGGACGAAAGUCUGACCGAGCAACGCCGCGUGAGUGAAGAAGGUUUUCGGAUCGUAAAGCUCUGUUGUUAGAGAAGCGGUAUCUAACCAGAAAGCCACGGCUAACUACGUGCCAGCAGCCGCGGUAAUUC
rnacentral:rRNA from 1 species